UUGGCAGUACGUCCAUCUGGCCUCACAACUGCAGACCACAUGUAACCACGCCAGCCCAGGACCUCCGUAUCCUGCUUCCCCUGCAGGAUUGUCUUAAAGGGGUUUGAGGGGUUGCUGAGGAGUAUUCUGUCUGUAAUAAAGCCCCUUUUGUAGGAAAAAAAACAUUGUUUGGCUGGGCCUGGCUCCCCAGUUGGUGCACCCCUACCUAGUCAUGUGAAAUCCAUAGAUUAGGGCCUAAUUGAUUUCCUUAUGAACAUUAACUCAGUAAAAUCUUUUAAAUUGUUUCAUAUUGCGUUUUUAUAUUUUUGUUUGUUGUAUGUAAAGAUGUGUCAGCAGUAGCUGUACUAAACACACACACACCCAGACAGCCCUGUGCUGUGUUCUGCUGAGCUAGGCUCUGCUCUGGUCUGGUCACGCUGUGGUGUGAGAGGCAGGGACAGGGCUCAUUUGGCUGUGCCGUUUACCUCUAACUUCUCUGUGUGGGAGAGCAAAGUGGGCACUGCUGCAUGUUAGCUAGUCUGCAGAUGAGCCUGUACAGCAGUAUAGGAACUGUUGACUCAUUACAAAAGUGUUUUUUGCUUGGCCCAUAGGCAACAAUCUACCAAAGGUCUACUUUGCUCCACUGUUCUGUCAUGUGGCCCCAGGACAAGAGAAGUCUUUGUCUGUUCCAGAUAUAGCCCUGGUUGCCUUGCCUGCCACCAUACACUAGCAUGACCCUUUCAAUCUCUGGACCACUCUGAAAUCACAACAGAUUUGCCAACGGCUACAAACCCCUAUUGAAUCCCGAGUCCACAACCUCUUAAAGGCGUCCUCAUGCUUCCCAGCCAAAAGAGUUCAGGAAGAGUUUGUGCAUAUAUUAUGACAUUUUGUCAUGUCUUUUGUUCGUUUCGGGCACACAAUGUUUUCUGAAGGCAAACAGAAGUAGGUAGCCGAAGUUUACGCAACUUCCGUUGGUGAUUGGUCAACAGAGGGGUCCUUCAAUAAUGUCUUUGUUGUCAUUGAAUGAGAGAUGACAGUUUCAUCAAUUUUACAUUUUUGUUUUUAUUGCCAAACUCCGUUAGAUGUAAAAUUGUGCGACAAAGAUCUCCUCUGCAAAAGCAUCAAAACGAAUGACAGAUUUCUUUGAUUAACUGGGACUAUUUUGUGGAAGUGUAUAUUGGCUACAGCCUCUUGAAAUGCACAAACAGUCCUGUUGCUGCUGCUUUUUCUAGUUCUCCAAAUUAAGGUCUUAAGGGACUAUGCAUAUAAUCUCUCCUCUCUCACAGCACCCCUCCGCUCCAUCAUGACAACUCCCUCCAUCCCCUCUCCUCAAAAAAUACACUAUGAUUAAUGAUAACUUGGCUAUAUACACAGGGUACCAGUGCAGGGGUAUGAGGUAAUGUAGGUAGAUAUGAUAUGGUAGAUAUUUGGUAAACUAUUUAACUAACUAUUUAGCAGUCUUCUGACUUGGGUAGAAGCUGUUCAGUGUCCUGUUGGUUCCAGACUUGCUACGUUGGUACUGCUUGCCGUGUGGUAGCAGAGAGAACAGUCUAUGACCUUGGUUGGCUGGAGUCUUUGAACAUUUCUAGGGCCUUCUGUCUGACACCAACUGGUAUAGAGGUCUUGGAUGGAAGGGAGCGCGACCCCAGUGAUGUACUGGGCCAUACGCAAAACCCUCUGUAGCGCCUUGCGAUCAGAUGCUAAGCAGUUGCCAUACCAAGCUGUUAUGCAGCCAAGAUGCUCUGUGGUGCAGCUGUAGAACUUUUGCGGAUCUGCAUGACCAUGCCACAUUUUUUUUCAACCUCCUGAAGGGGACAUGGCAUUGUCUUCUGUCUUCACGACUGUGUUGGUGUGUUUGGACCAUGAUAGAUUCUUAGUGAUGUGGACCCCGAGAAACGUAAUGCUCCCGCUCCACUACAGCCCCGUCAAUGUGAUGGUGUGCUCGGCUCUCCGUUUCCUGCUGUCCAUGAUCACCUCCUUUGUUUUGCUGACGUUGAGGGAGAGGUUUUGUGUGUUAGCACCACAAUGCCAGGUCUCCUACCUCCUCCCUAUAGGCUGUCAUAUCGUCAUUGUUUUGGCCUACCACCGUCGUGCUGUCGGCAAACUUAAUGAUGGAGUCGUGCGCAGACAAGUAGUCAUGGGUGUACUCCCAGUUCACCCAUGACUACAAGGGGACUAAGCACUCACCCCUGAGGGGCCCUCCUUGUUGAGGGUCAACGUGGUGAAUGUGUUGUUGCCUACCCUUACCACCGGGGGAAUUGCUUCUGUAAUUCCAGGAUCCAGUUGCAGAGGGAUGUGUUCAGUCCCAGGGACCUUAGCUUAGUGAUGAGCUUGGAGGGCACUAUGGUGUUGAACACUGAGCUGUAGUCAAUGAACAGCAUUCUCACGUAGGUGUUCCUUUUGUCCAAGUAGGAAAGGGCACUGUUGAGUGCAAUAGAGCAUGUGUCAUCUGUGGAUCUGUUGUAGCUGUUUUCAUGGCUACAAAUGUGAGUGCUACUGAGCAGUAGUCAUUUAAACAGGUUACAUAUGUGUUCUUGGGCACAGGGACUAUGGUGGUCUGCUUGAUGCAUGUAGGUAUUACAAACUGGGUCAGGGAGAGAUUGACAAUGUCAGUGAACACACUUGGAGGGGAUAGGAUAAAAGGAGAGUGAAGAUGGCUGGAGAGGAUGGCAGGGCAGUGAGGGAGAGGAGGCUGGAUGAUGAGAAUAGAGAAGGGCUAUGACAGGAGGAUAGUAUCUCUGUGGUGAGGUGUCAGUGCUCCUGUGUAUAGCGCCCGGGGUUGAGCUGUUUAAUCAGCAGGGUGGCUUUGCCAAACCACAGCCCUCACUGCUGCCAUUGUUCACGGCUCAGCCCUAAUCUGAUCUUCUCAAGUGUCGUAUCCCCCCCCCUCCUCAAUACAAUAAUUGAGACGUGUGUGUGUGUGUGUGUGUGUGUGUGUGUGUGUGUGUCAGAGGGAGGGGAAGUUAGAGUUUAAGUAGCCGCCAGAGCAGAAGAGUGACGCUCACUCUUAGAUGAUCUCAAAUUAUUUGAAGCAUCUCUUGCUGUGUGUAUUUCUGUUCUUUCCGCUCGGUCUUGGUGGGUACCAGCGUGAUAUGAGGUUUCUUAUAGGUUCAUAUCUCUAACAAAGGAAAGGAAGAGCGUCGGGUGGCACUGGUAAUGUGCUGAUAAUCACUGUCCUCGUCCUGUUACUUUUCACUCCUCAACCCUCCCAGAGGGAGCAUUUUAAUGUAUCUGGUGGAAUAACUUAAGCCCCACACCUAACCUGAACCUUGAUACAACUGAGCCAUCUACAGUACACUACUGCUCUGAGAAGUCUUUUGAUCAGCUAUAACCCAUGGCCAGGGCCUAGUAUGACUGUUUUAUAAGGACUUUUCCUGGUCAGGUAAGUGUUAUGGGGACAACUUUCUCAGUUCCUGCAUUUGAAAAAACUAUACAAAGAUCAGCUUUAUUGCAGAUUGUAGCUUCUAUCAAUGUAAUUGUCUGCGUCAUUUCCAAUCCCCCAUAUUGUUUUUGGUAAAUAUAUAUUUUCCUUUAUAUUCCCCUAAUUGGAGUAAACUAAUGGACAACAGAAGUUAGGCUUCUACUUCCAGGUUAUACAUUUUAUGGACACAGUAUAUUUUACUUAUUUUUUAAAACUAAUUUGUCCCACCCUUCAGCUCCCCUCAACCCCUCCCAUCUAUCUCUGAACGCCAUCCAGUUUCUAUUAUCCAUAAUAAAGAGAUCACUUUUUUGACUUUACACCCCUGUGGACUCUAGUUUUAUCUUACCUUGAUUAUUGUCCAGUCAUAUGGUCAAGUGCUGCAAAGAAAGACCUAAUUAAGCUGCAGCUGUUCCAGGACAAAGUGGCUCGUCAUUGUAAUCAGAGGGCUGAUAUUAAUACUAUUCAUACCAGUAUCUCUUGGCUAAAAGUUGAAGAAAGACAGUCACUUGUUUUUAUAAAAAAUGUGUUGUGGAAAUUCCAAAUUGUUUGCAUAGCACACACUUACCCCACCAGACAUGCCAUCAGGGGUCUUUUCACAGUCCCUGGAUCCAGAACAAAUUCAAGGAAACGUACAGUACAGUAUUAUACAGAGCCAUGAGUGCAUGAAAUUACCUACCAUCUUAUAUUGCACUAGUGAACAGCAAACCUGGUUUCCAAAAACAAAUUAAGCACCACAAGGCACAACGCUUCUCCCCAUGUGACCUACUUGUUGUGUGUAAAGUAUGUACUGACAUGCAUGUGGUAGAAGCGCGCGCGCGCGCGCGCACACACACACACACACACACAACAUAUGUUAAUGUUUUUAAAUGUAUUUCAAUUGUAAAAAAAAAACAUAUAUUUCUUUGUCUGGACCCCAGUAAGCCUAGCUGUCACCAUUGGCGUCGGUUAAUGGGGAUC